rnacentral:misc_RNA from 1 species
CAACCCUCAAGCUCUGCUUGGUAUUGGGCCUCACCGGUUCUGGUGGGCCUUAAAAUCAGUGGCGGUGCCAUCCGGCUUCAAGCGUAGUAAUUCUUCUCGCUUCUGGAGUUCCGGGUGUGUGCUUGCCAUCAACCCCCAAUUAUAUCAAA